rnacentral:lncRNA from 1 species
CAGCCCAGCCCUGCCCUCUCUCCCUUGCUUGACUCAGUGCUGUGGAAGGGGAAAUCUGUUCGACUAGUUAUAAAUUAGAACCAUUACUCACGGGAAAAGACCCUUCAGCUCUAGAGGAGAGCUGCCACACAAAGUUCGAGGGACAGAGGAACACCAGGGAGAGCAAAAUAGAACACAAUGGUUUCUUAUUAAGCCACUAUUUGGUGCCGUGUGUAUCUCUGUAGUGACCUUGGCCACAGACGAAGAAGCCAAUGUUUCCAGAGUUCCGGUUGCACACACGGUGAAUGACUGGACUUGAUCAGUUACUCUGAUUCCUGGUUGUGGCUGCCACUUGGUGUAUCUAAUCUCCCCACUGCCAGGACAGAAGAGCCUCACAAGUUAUCCCGGGUUUGCUUGAUUUUUUUUUUUUUUCUUUUUCUGACUCUGUUGUUAUCAAGACUUCAGAGACUAAAGAGGUAGGUUUCUAAAUAGGCAGUUUUCUGCUAAGCAAGCAGAGACGUGUUUUAAUGGAGACCUGGGUGCUAAGAUGGACAAGCCCACUCUGCGGCAUGGCAGAAACUUUCCUGGACCAUCAAGUAGCUCCAUCCUUACACAUGGCAGGCAGCUUCUCUGCUUUCACAGCUGCGUGUGUGGUGCUUGGCCCAGGCAUCUCAGCCAGCCAUCCUCUCAUAACAAGGGGGCUCUGCAGUGGGUGGGGCAGCACUAGUCGACUCUCAUGACCUGAGAUGGAAGACACAGACCUGACCUGUGUGGCUGUGGGGGUGGGGUGCCACUGAGGCGCCAAGUACAGCCUCACUCCUUCCCUGAAGCCCUCAUGAAAUGUGCUCUCUUGCCAGGACAUCAAACUUAGACACUUGAAUUGCUUGAACUUGGGCUAUCAGUUCUGACUCCAGAGCCUUUACCUGAGACUCAAGGAGAAAAACGUCCACUUGCAUUCAUCUAGCAUGUGACUAAGAAGGGAGGUGUGAGUGAAUCUUGAUCUAAAAGCAAACCUGUCUUACCCUUAACCAUCUUCUAGGCAAGGAAGUAGCUUAAGUAUCCCAUCCUUGUCCAUUAAUGAUAGUAUCUCUCCUUUUGGAAUGACGACAGAGCAUCGCGUAUAUUGUUCAACCUUCCCUUCUAAAGUGCACAAGCCAAUGGUUUUCACUCUGCUCAGUUAUGCACCCAUCAAUAAUACAAUUAUUUCAGAGCAUUAUCCAGGAAAGAAAUGCAGUAACCAUUGACAACCAUUCCCAAGUCAUCCCAACCUGUCUCCCCAGCUCAGGCAAUCACCUAUCUGCUUCUUGUCUCUGCAUUUCCUUAUUCUCAUCUUUUUUUUUCACCAUGUCUGAAAGUCAUAUCCUUGACCAAUAUCUUCCUGUUUUCCUUUCUCCUUUAAAUACCCAAGCCUCUAGUAACCACCACCAACUCUGUCCUUCAGAGAGUUAGAUGUUUCACAUUCCACACAUGAAUGAGAUAAUGCAAUGUCUGGCUUAUUUCACUUCACACAGUAUCCUCUGAGUUCAUCCGUGUUGUCACAAAUAACAGAAUUUUGAUAUUUUUUUUUAAAAAAUAGCUAAAUAGUUUUUGGUUCUGUGUAUAUACUAAGUUUUGUUUAUCCUUGCAUCUGCUCUCUUUGGUCUAAUUUGGAUUGCCCAUCUUGCUGCAAGCACAACAACUAUGCUGUGUCACACAAAAAACUCACCUGCCACUGGGCUAGACCUGCCUUAGGGAGGUCAGCAACAUGUGCUUGUCCAAAAUGUGCUCAUCCCGAAGCUGGAUCCCUGGGCUGUCAACGCCUCUGCCAUUUCUGAGCUGUGUGACUGGGCAAAACACUGUACCUCAGUUCUUUGCCUGUAAGUGGGGUACACCAAUGGCCUUUUCCUUCUUAAGGCACUGUGAUCAAAGAAACCAAUUCAUGCCAAGUUUCAGAUGAAUUCAAAAUUUGAGAUUAAGGGCUCUUUGUUCUUCUGCAUUUAAGGAAUUUGCACCUGGGUGAGUGUCCACAGCCAUGCCACCUGAAUAUGUCCCAUGCCGUCUGAAACAUGAUAUGUAGGGAGGGACAGUGUGCUUGCCAAAGUGUAGCACUGCUAUGUACAAAUGUGGAGUCCUACAGGGCAAAGUCAGACAAUUGCCUUUUUACUUAGCUAUUUUUCAGAGAGGACAGACUUUCUUUACAAAAGUGAUUGUGGGACAAGUGAGCCUGCCGACCUUACUUCAAUCCCUGAAACCCCCACAAAGGUGGAAGGAAAAAUCGACUCCACCAAGUUGGCCUCUGACCUCCAUCAUGGUAUGCACACCCACAAACAUGCAUUGCUGUACAUACAUCCACAAUAAUAAUAAAAUAUAGAAAUCGGGAUGGAAACACGAUUGUGUACAGCUCAAUGUUUAUCACUGUUUUACUUCAUCCUUCCCUUCAGAGAGAGGCUGCUAUUACACAAGCUCCAGGAUUACUAAAUGGAGCCACUGAGGAGGCCAUAGCCUGAGGUGGGAAGUCAAGCAGGCAGCUUCAUUUGCAAUUAAAAAAAAAAAAAAAACCUUGAAUUGAAUUGAGUUGAAUUGCUCAUUCAUUUGAGAAGAAAUGUGGAAACCUCUAUAGUAAUUUGUCAGGGUCAAUUUCUACCAAGCCUGAUUUGGAAUAUUCCUUUACACUGUGUGAAGAUGUGUCACUGUGAUUGGUUUAAUAAAGAGCUGAAUGGUCUAUAGCCAGGCAGGAAGAGGUUAGGCAGGACUUAUGGUGACAAAGAG